CCCGCUGAACUUAAGCAUAUCAAUAAGCGGAGGAAAAGAAACUAACAAGGAUUCCCUCAGUAACGGCGAGUGAAGUGGGAAGAGCUCAAAUUUAAAAUCUGGCGUAAAAGCCCGAAUUGUAGUCUAAAGAGGCGUUAUCGGACGCGAGUCUGUCGUACAAGUUCCCUGGAAUGGGACAUCACAGAGGGUGAGAAUCCCGUCUGGACGAUGGAUGAGCGGACAUAUGAGACGUUCUCAAAGAGUCGAGUUGUUUGGGAUUGCAGCUCAAAAUGGGAGGUAAAUUUCUUCUAAGGCUAAAUAAUGGCAAGAGACCGAUAGCAAACAAGUACCGUGAGGGAAAGAUGAAAAGCACCUUGAAAAGGGAGUUAAAAGCGCGUGAAAUUGUUAAAAGGGAAACGAUUGAAGCCAGUAGGGCCAUGGAAAGUUCAGCGGUACCCACUGAGCAUUGCCGCGAUGAGAGUGCUUAAUUGUGCCUCUAGAUGGUGUGCGCAAGUGGACUAUCGUGCAUUCUUUUCAUGGCUAGUCAGUGUCAAUUCGGAUCGCCGGAAAAGGACUUGGGGAAAGUGGCCAGCACUUGUGUCGGCUUUAUAGACCCUCGUAGAUACGGCGGACUGGAUUGGAAUCGACAACAGCUAACGGGGAUGUGAGUAUCUGCAGCUGUGGACAUUUGAGAAUCAGUUGAGUCUCAGAUGGUAUCUAGUUGGGAGAAAGUGUCUUAGAUGCUGUGGUGAGUACUGACGAAAUGGCUUUAAACGACCCGUCUUGAAACACGG
rnacentral:rRNA from 1 species